rnacentral:rRNA from 1 species
ACUCUAAGCGGUGGAUCACUCGGCUCAUGGGUCGAUGAAGAACGCAGCAAACUGUGCGUCAUCGUGUGAACUGCAGGACACAUGAACAUCGACAUUUUGAACGCAUAUCGCAGUCCAUGCUGUUAUGUACUUUAAUUAAUUUUAUAGUGCUGCUUGGACUACAUAUGGUUGAGGGUUGUAAGACUAUGCUAAUUAAGUUGCUUAUAAAUUUUUAUAAGCAUAUGGUAUAUUAUUGGAUAAAUAUAAUAAUUUUUAUUCAUAAUAUUAAAAAAUAAAUGAAAAACAUUAUCUCACAUUUGAAUGUGAAAAACGAAGAGAAAUAUUUUCUUUUUCAAUCAAAUAAUACUGAGAAAUGUCUAGCAUAAAAAAUUGAAAUAUUUUUCAUCUAGAAUUGUCUCUUAUUAAUGAUUCGGAAAUAGAAAAAUCUUGGUUAUGUUAUUAUUCUUCGUUGGUUCGUUAAAAAUGGAUAAAUAAAAACUUUGCAUACAAGAAUUAAUAAAAAUGUUAUAACGAAUUUAAUUAAAUGUUUUAUCAUUAUAUAUAAAGAAUUUAUGGCAAGAUAAAGUUAUAUACAACCUCAACUCAUAUGGGACUACCCCCUGAAUUUAAGCAUAUUAAUUAGGGGAGGAAAAGAAACUAACAAGGAUUUUCUUAGUAGCGGCGAGCGAAAAGAAAACAGUUCAGCACUAAGUCACUUUGUCUAUAUGGCAAAUGUGAGAUGCAGUGUAUGGAGCGUCAAUAUUCUAGUAUGAGAAAUUAACGAUUUAAGUCCUUCUUAAAUGAGGCCAUUUACCCAUAGAGGGUGCCAGGCCCGUAUAACGUUAAUGAUUACUAGAUGAUGUUUCCAAAGAGUCGUGUUGCUUGAUAGUGCAGCACUAAGUGGGUGGUAAACUCCAUCUAAAACUAAAUAUAACCAUGAGACCGAUAGUAAACAAGUACCGUGAGGGAAAGUUGAAAAGAACUCUGAAUAGAGAGUUAAACAGUACGUGAAACUGCUUAGAGGUUAAGCCCGAUGAACCUGAAUAUCCGUUAUGGAAAAUUCAUCAUUAAAAUUGUAAUAUUUAAAUAAUAUUAUGAGAAUAGUGUGCAUUUUUUCCAUAUAAGGACAUUGUAAUCUAUUAGCAUAUACCAAAUUUAUCAUAAAAUAUAACUUAUAGUUUAUUCCAAUUAAAUUGCUUGCAUUUUAACACAGAAUAAAUGUUAUUAAUUUGAUAAAGUGCUGAUAGAUUUAUAUGAUUACAGUGCGUUAAUUUUUCGGAAUUAUAUAAUGGCAUAAUUAUCAUUGAUUUUUGUGUUUAUUAUAUGCACUUGUAUGAUUAACAAUGCGAAAGAUUCAGGAUACCUUCGGGACCCGUCUUGAAACACGGACCAAGGAGUCUAACAUAUGUGCAAGUUAUUGGGAUAUAAACCUAAUAGCGUAAUUAACUUGACUAAUAAUGGGAUUAGUUUUUUUAGCUAUUUAUAGCUAAUUAACACAAUCCCGGGGCGUUCUAUAUAGUUAUGUAUAAUGUAUAUUUAUAUUAUUUAUGCCUCUAACUGGAACGUACCUUGAGCAUAUAUGCUGUGACCCGAAAGAUGGUGAACUAUACUUGAUCAGGUUGAAGUCAGGGGAAACCCUGAUGGAAGACCGAAACAGUUCUGACGUGCAAAUCGAUUGUCAGAAUUGAGUAUAGGGGCGAAAGACCAAUCGAACCAUCUAGUAGCUGGUUCCUUCCGAAGUUUCCCUCAGGAUAGCUGGUGCAUUUUAAUAUUAUAUAAAAUAAUCUUAUCUGGUAAAGCGAAUGAUUAGAGGCCUUAGGGUCGAAACGAUCUUAACCUAUUCUCAAACUUUAAAUGGGUAAGAACCUUAACUUUCUUGAUAUGAAGUUCAAGGUUAUGAUAUAAUGUGCCCAGUGGGCCACUUUUGGUAAGCAGAACUGGCGCUGUGGGAUGAACCAAACGUAAUGUUACGGUGCCCAAAUUAACAACUCAUGCAGAUACCAUGAAAGGCGUUGGUUGCUUAAAACAGCAGGACGGUGAUCAUGGAAGUCGAAAUCCGCUAAGGAGUGUGUAACAACUCACCUGCCGAAGCAACUAGCCCUUAAAAUGGAUGGCGCUUAAGUUGUAUACCUAUACAUUACCGCUAAAGUAGAUGAUUUAUAUUACUUGUGAUAUAAAUUUUGAAACUUUAGUGAGUAGGAAGGUACAAUGGUAUGCGUAGAAGUGUUUGGCGUAAGCCUGCAUGGAGCUGCCAUUGGUACAGAUCUUGGUGGUAGUAGCAAAUAAUCGAAUGAGACCUUGGAGGACUGAAGUGGAGAAGGGUUUCGUGUGAACAGUGGUUGAUCACGAGUUAGUCGGUCCUAAGUUCAAGGCGAAAGCCGAAAAUUUUCAAGUAAAACAAAAAUGCCUAACUAUCUAUAUAAACAAAGCGAAUUAUAAUACACUUGAAUAAUUUUGAACGAAAGGGAAUACGGUUCAAUUCCGUAACCUGUUGAGUAUCCGUUUGUUAUUAAAUAUGGGCCUCGUGCUCAUCCUGGCAACAGGAACGACCAUAAAGAAGCCGUCGAGAGAUAUCGGAAGAGUUUUCUUUUCUGUUUUAUAGCCGUACUACCAUGGAAGUCUUUCGCAGAGAGAUAUGGUAGAUGGGCUAGAAGAGCAUGACAUAUACUGUUGUGUCGAUAUUUUUCCUCGGACUUGAAAUUUAUGGUGGGGACACGCAAACUUCUCAACAGGCGUACCAAUAUCCGCAGCUGGUCUCCAAGGUGAAGAGUCUCUAGUCGAUAGAAUAUGUAGGUAAGAGGAAGUCGGCAAAUUAGACCGUAACUUCGGGAUAAGGAUUGGCU